rnacentral:rRNA from 1 species
UACGUAGGUGGCAAGCGUUAUCCGGAUUUAUUGGGUGUAAAGGGCGUGUAGGCGGGAAAGCAAGUCAGAUGUGAAAACUCAGGGCUCAACCCUGAGCCUGCAUUUGAAACUGUUUUUCUUGAGUGCUGGAGAGGCAAUCGGAAUUCCGUGUGUAGCGGUGAAAUGCGUAGAUAUACGGGGGAACACCAGUGGCGAAGGCGGAUUGCUGGACAGUAACUGACGCUGAGGCGCGAAAGCGUGGGGAGCAAACAGG